UUUAAAAUGUGGGGAAAAACUUGUAAAAAUAUAAAUAGUUAAGAAAAGUAAAAGUAAAAAAAAAUCUUCAAUGAUGCCAAUGAUGUUGGCAGACCCUUUACAUGAGUACACAUCUCCCUUUUGGGGGCCUCAUUGAUUUAAAAUUAAGUUAAAUAUUGUUGGGGGUUGGGGCUCAAAGCAGAUACCAAAGACACAGGCUUGCUAGCUACAAGAUUGCCUUAUAAGGAUAAAACUGGUAACAGACACCCUGAUUGGUGCUGACAAAACUAAAAAGUUUUUAUUUACAUUUUUUCCUGAAGUCUCUCUCUGCCUGAUGUAGCUGUGUAAUAAUAAAGUUUUGCUUUUGGUAACUCGGCUCAGUGUUUAGUUCUUCCUCGGAAGCCGGUGACGACCGAAGACCCAGAAGAUGGCAAAGCAACAGUGGAAAGCGGCAGCUGCUUGGUUCCUUUGGCUGAAGAAAACAAAUGGUUAUUUAAAAAGACAAACUGCUCUUACAAGAUGUUAAUUGAUUGAAUAUUUGUUUCUUUAGAUACAUAAUGGUUAUGAAUAUUAAAGAAUAUGAUCAGAAAUGUGGUAUAUAGUUUGAAAGGGUUAUUUCAAAAAGUUUAAUUGAUGUUUUCAAGAACUUUUCAGAUUCUUUUUAUGUGAAAAUAGGAAGUUUUAAUUAACUGUAUUGAUGCCAAUUAUCUGAAAUGGGACUCCAAGGAUAAUAGUUUUUGCCUUCUUCCUUUUGAAAAUGUUUUUGUUGUGAACCAUAUGUAGUUUGGAGUUUUUCUGUAUAUUGGGUAUUUUAAAAGCAAAAUGAUUGGUAUACUAUUAAAUUUAUUCAAGAUGCAACAUCUACUUGGGUACAUAAGAAUUGUGUGAAUUUUCUGGGAUAAAUUUCUUACUGUUACUGAUAUAAGGUCAUGGUAAAUAAUUGUUUGGGAUUUAUUUGAAACUUUGGAGAUGAAAUUCUUUGGGCUUGUAAUUAAUUCUAUUUGGGAGUUUUAAAGCUCCACUCUUUGAUGUGCUGAAGAUUGAGUUUUAACUGCUUAUAUUAUGUAAUAGUUAUGUUCUUGCAUUUUUCCUUCUGUAACUGAUCUCUCUGAUCAGAGCAAUGGUCAAUAGAACUGUUAAUAUAAUUCAAUUAUGUCAUGCCUUGCUAUUUUCAGUCUGGUCAUAUGUAAUCAUUGUAUCCUAAAUGCUUGGGCAACUGACCAUUUCGCCUGGUCAUCUGUCUGUUACUGGAUAUUUGUGUUUUAUUUCUUUAAGGUUUCUACAUGAUAAGAGGACAAUUAACAGGGGUCUGUGAGACCUCACUGAUGUUGCAACUUGGGACUGCACCCGUUUGCUUGGCCUGUAAAGCAAACUCAUUUCUUCACAUAGGAAACAAUUUAUUUUGACCUCCUCAUAUUCUGCAGCAGUUUGGUGAACUGAGUCUUUCUAUCUGAGACUGAUCUAAUCUUUAUUUGCUAGAUUUGUGUUUUUGCUCUAGAUUUUGGUCAAAUUACAGAUAUUGGCUUGUUUCUGGAACCUGAAUCAGCUUUGAUCAGCUUUGAUUGUCAACAUGAUGCACCCACUCUGCAAGGAAUGAGAACCUCCUGUCACUUCACAGCCUGGAGCAGCAGUUUUAAAUGAGAGCCAUGGACUUGACCCUGCAUCUACUGUAGUUUGGACUAAUAUAAGGGACUUUGGGAAUGGUUGAUGAAUGACUGUUAAACCUUGCCUGGAUCAUCUAUUACUGUGUGCUUAAGAUUUGGGAUGGGAUUUGUUAACACUGUGUAACUGUUGCUGUUAUGUUUGAGGGAUUUUUAGGAAAUGCUACUGUACUAGUCUGUUAUGUAUAGGGAUUUUGAUUCACUCUUGGGAUUUAUAUGGGCAAUGGUCAUUUGAUAAUUCCUUUCCAUGAGAAAGAAAAAGGGGGAGGUAGAGAUAGAACAUUGGGGAACCUCACAGAACUCCAAUCAGGCCUUAAAAAUUUAAAAGACUCUGUGUCCUCCCUAGCAGAAGUAGUACUGCAAAAUAGAAGGGGUUUAGAUCUGUUGUUCUUACAGCAGGGCGGCCUUUGCGCUGCACUAAAAGAAGAAUGUUGUUUCUUUGUAAAUAAGCUGGGCCUGGUAGAGGAUAGCAUUCAAAAGAUCAGGGACAGUUUAGAAAAACGUAAAAGAGAGAGAGAGCAACAAGAAUCCUGGUACCAAAACUGGUUUUCUGCUUCCCCCUGGCUGACAACAUUGCUUCCUAGUCUCCUAGGCCCACUCAUUGGCUUCUUACUUUUGGUUUCCUUUGGACCAUGGUUGUUCAACAAACUAACCAACUUUGUUAAGUCUCAGGUUGAUUCUGCGAUCCAGAAAAACGUUCAAAUUGUCUACCAACAAAUCCAUGAUUCAGAGCCAGUGGACAACUCGCACACCCCACAACCUGAGCCUCUUUGUUUUACUGAAGCUGAUUUUAACACUCCAUGGUACCGGAAACUUUGCCUUACAUAAGUUAACUAUCCCCUGGCGCCUGUGUAUCUCUGUAUAACUACCUCCCUUUGAUCAUGCAUAAUCAAAAGGCUAUGACCCUCAGGUCUGGCUGACGGAGCUUGAGCCACAACCAUAAGACCACCACCGCGCCAUGAUGGGCAACCUCAGGGCAUUCCCACCCACCUGAGACAGGGCCCUGGUGUGGCAGGGAUCCACGGGUCAGGCGUGGCCUGCCCUGACGACCUAAGACAGCGCUCCGUGGCUGAAAUCCUCAAGCUCACGCAGAAGGGAGCCAGGGCAUAAGCCAUCUGUUUAUAAAACCUUGCUACUGAGACAAGGCGAACCGUGCCUUUACCACUGCCUUUAAACAAAAAGGGGGAAUUGUUGGGGGUUGGGGCUCAAAGCAGAUACCAAAGACACAGGCUUGCUAGCUACAAGAUUGCCUUAUAAGGAUAAAACUGGUAACAGACACCCUGAUUGGUGCUGACAAAACUAAAAAGUUUUUAUUUACAUUUUUUCCUGAAGUCUCUCUCUGCCUGAUGUAGCUGUGUAAUAAUAAAGUUUUGCUUUUGGUAA